rnacentral:misc_RNA from 1 species
GCCACGCCCGAAGUCAUUACUCUAACCCGCAAGGGGGGAGGGCGCCGAAGGCAGGGCUAGUGACUGGGGUGAAGUCGUAACAAGGUAGCCGUACCGGAAGGUGUGGCUGGAUCACCUCCUUUAAGGGAGACCCAAAUUCAAGUCAAAAGUCAAAAAUAAUAGACAAAGACUUGAAAGAAUCCCGAGGUCGAACAAGGGAAAGCCAAAGCUUUCAAACUAAAAAAGGUUCGGGGGAAUGGGCUAUUAGCUCAGGUGGUUAGAGCGCACCCCUGAUAAGGGUGAGGUCCCUGGUUCGAGUCCAGGAUGGCCCACCUGCACAGGUGGCAAAAACAAAGAAGCGAGGAAUCAGCACCUUAUCUUACUUACAUAGUAAGAGAGAAUGCUGGCUCUGAGUAAAGAGUCCAGAGGAACCUUGAAAACUGCAUAGAGCUAGGUGAAAAAGCCAAAAAAGAAGACCGCAAGGUCAAGCUAAUAAGGGCUAACGGUGGAUACCAAGGCACACAGAGG